rnacentral:misc_RNA from 1 species
UCUCCGUUGGUGAACCAGCGGAGGGAUCAUUACCGAGUUUACAACUCCCAAACCCAAUGUGGACCAUACCAAACUGUUGCCUCGGCGGGGUCACGCCCCGGGUGCGUCGCAGCCCCGGAACCAGGCGCCCGCCGGAGGGACCAACCAAACUCUUUCUGUAGUCCCCUCGCGGUCGUUAUUUUUACAGCUCUGAGCAAAAAUUCAAAAUGAAUCAAAACUUUCAACAACGGAUCUCUUGGUUCUG